rfam:Omnitrophica bacterium RIFCSPLOWO2_12_FTLL_44_17 rifcsplowo2_12_scaffold_762, whole genome shotgun sequence.
GAUGUUGACCGGGUGAUCGCUUCCAUUCGUGGAGGAGGAAAGUCCGAGCUCCACAGGGCAAGAGCGCUCUGUAACACAGAGACUUUCAUGGCCAAAGCCGUGAAAGAUGGAAAGUGCCACAGAAAAUAAACAGCCUUUUGUUGAUGGUGUCAAACCCAUCAAUCGGGGGUUAAGGUGAAACGGCGGCAGUCACUCUUAUUGAGUAAUCAAUAGAAAGUGAGUGCAGUCGUCAUUUCUCAUUUAAUGAUGGGGAGUGACGGCGGUUUAAGAGACCACCGGCCCGAAGGCGACGGAGGGCGCAUGGUAAACCCCGCUUGGAGAAAGACCGAAUAGAAAACGAACUCGGCGGCGCAGAAUCACUGAUUUUGCGGAUGCCGGGGGGAACGGCCCGUUCCCAAGUUUUGGGUUGGUCGCAUGAGGCGUUUGCGCAAGCAGCGCCCUAGAUAGAUGAUCAUUACCCGCCACGUAAGUGGCGGGGACAGAACUCGGCUUACAGGUCAGCAUCAUGU